ACCCAGAGCAAUUCCACUAGACGAGCAUCCAGCGUGAAGCUCUUGUUGCCAUGAAAGACUAAGCGUGGGUCUGUCCAGCGCUGCCGCAGCUCUUGAAAUCCACCACCAGAGGGCAGCUGAUGCACGCGGAUGGAUGUCCUGCUCUGACAUGGCUUGGUGCAUUCCAGCACUGCCUUCGGCCCUCGUGGAAACACAUCAAUGCCUCUCUUCGUGGGACUUGCUCUAACUCCUUCUCCUCAUCUCUAAAUCACAUGGGCUGAAUGUUGUCCUGAAACCCUGCAAGCAGUUGCAACAUUCACCUAGGAGGUGGGAGACCUGACAGCUGACAGUAGCCUCAGAGUGAGGGGAAUGCAUGUGCCAGAAGCCAGUAUUCCUGGAAAGGAGAAUUCCUGUAUGUCCACUGUCUGAGUAAAUUGACACAAACAAAAAUAAAGCAGAAAAUCACAUGGGUAAGGCCCUAAAUAAAAACAUACGUGAUUACAGCAGAAUUGAAUUACUGUCAGAUCU